rnacentral:rRNA from 1 species
AGGGUUUGAUCAUGGCUCAGGACGAACGCUGGCGGCGUGCCUAAUACAUGCAAGUCGAGCGAAUCUUGAGGUGCUUGCACCUCUUGGUUAGCGGCGGACGGGUGAGUAACACGUGGGCAACCUGCCUGUAAGACUGGGAUAACUUCGGGAAACCGGAGCUAAUACCGGAUAAUCCUUUUCCUCUCAUGAGGAAAAGCUGAAAGUCGGUUUACGCUGACACUUACAGAUGGGCCCGCGGCGCAUUAGCUAGUUGGUGAGGUAACGGCUCACCAAGGCGACGAUGCGUAGCCGACCUGAGAGGGUGAUCGGCCACACUGGGACUGAGACACGGCCCAGACUCCUACGGGAGGCAGCAGUAGGGAAUCUUCCGCAAUGGACGAAAGUCUGACGGAGCAACGCCGCGUGAGCGAUGAAGGCCUUCGGGUCGUAAAGCUCUGUUGUUAGGGAAGAACAAGUAUCGGAGUAACUGCCGGUACCUUGACGGUACCUAACCAGAAAGCCACGGCUAACUACGUGCCAGCAGCCGCGGUAAUACGUAGGUGGCAAGCGUUGUCCGGAAUUAUUGGGCGUAAAGCGCGCGCAGGCGGUCCUUUAUGUCUGAUGUGAAAGCCCACGGCUCAACCGUGG